rnacentral:tRNA from 1 species
GCCUGGAUAGCUCAGUUGGUUAGACCAUGGCGCUGAUAAUGCCAAGGUUGCAGGUUCGAUCCCUGUAUGGAUCCUGCAUUGCA